AUAUUGGACAAUGGAGGCAACUCUGAUCCAGCCAUGCCGCGUGAGUGAAGAAGGCCUUCGGGUUGUAAAGCUCUUUCGGACGGGAGGAAAUGGCGGGCUCUAACAUAGCCUGUCGAUGACGGUACCGUAAGAAGAAGCACCGGCUAACUACGUGCCAGCAGCCGCGGUAAUACGAAGGGUGCAAGCGUUACUCGGAAUUACUGGGCGUAAAGCGUGCGUAGGUGGUUGUUUAAGUCUGAUGUGAAAGCCCUGGGCUCAACCUGGGAAUGGGAUUGGAAACUGGGAAGCUAGAGUGGGGUAGAGGGUAGUGGAAUUCCCGGUGGAGCAGUGAAAUGCGUAGAGAUCGGGAGGAACAUCUGUGACGAAGGCGACUGCCUGGACCAGCACUGACACUGAGGCACGAAAGCGUGG
rnacentral:rRNA from 1 species